UGCAGUCGAGCGGUAAGGCCUUUCGGGGUACACGAGCGGCGAACGGGUGAGUAACACGUGGGUGAUCUGCCCUGCACUUCGGGAUAAGCCUGGGAAACUGGGUCUAAUACCGGAUAUGACCUCCUAUCGCAUGGUGGGUGGUGGAAAGAUUUAUCGGUGCAGGAUGGGCCCGCGGCCUAUCAGCUUGUUGGUGGGGUAAUGGCCUACCAAGGCGACGACGGGUAGCCGACCUGAGAGGGUGACCGGCCACACUGGGACUGAGACACGGCCCAGACUCCUACGGGAGGCAGCAGUGGGGAAUAUUGCACAAUGGGCGAAAGCCUGAUGCAGCGACGCCGCGUGAGGGAUGACGGCCUUCGGGUUGUAAACCUCUUUCAGCAGGGACGAAGCGCAAGUGACGGUACCUGCAGAAGAAGCACCGGCUAACUACGUGCCAGCAGCCGCGGUAAUACGUAGGGUGCAAGCGUUGUCCGGAAUUACUGGGCGUAAAGAGUUCGUAGGCGGUUUGUCGCGUCGUUUGUGAAAACCAGCAGCUCAACUGCUGGCUUGCAGGCGAUACGGGCAGACUUGAGUACUGCAGGGGAGACUGGAAUUCCUGGUGUAGCGGUGAAAUGCGCAGAUAUCAGGAGGAACA
rnacentral:rRNA from 1 species